rnacentral:rRNA from 1 species
AACGUAGGACGCAAGCGUUAUCCGGAGUUACUGGGCGUAAAGCGCGGGCAGGCGGCUGUCUAAGUCUGAUGUGAAAGCGCCCGGCUUAACCGGGCGAGGCCAUUGGAAACUGGAGAGCUGGAGGGCAGUAGAGGCAGGCGGAAUUCCGGGUGGAGUGGUGAAAUGCGUAGAUAUCCGGAGGAACACCGGUGGCGAAGGCGGCUUCCUGGACCGACACUGACGCUGAGGCGCGAAAGCUAGGGGAGCAAACGGG